CUUCCACUGAGAAGAUAGUGGCGAACGGGUGAGUAACACGUGGGUAACCCUGCCCAUAAGAGGGGGGAGUAACAUCCGGAAACGGGUGCUAAUACCGCAUAGUUUCUUGAUCGCAUGAUCGGGAAAGGAAAGACGGCCUUUGUGCUGUCGCUUAUGGAUGGACCCGCGGCGUAUUAGUUAGUUGGUGAGGUAACGGCUCACCAAGACGAUGAUACGUAGCCGACCUGAGAGGGUGGUCGGCCACAUUGGGACUGAGACACGGCCCAAACUCCUACGGGAGGCAGCAGUAGGGAAUCUUCCGCAAUGGACGAAAGUCUGACGGAGCAACGCCGCGUGAGUGAAGAAAGGUUUUCGGAUCGUAAAACUCUGUUGUCAGAGAAGAACAAGUUGGAGAGUAACUGCUCCAGCCUUGACGGUAUCUGACCAGAAAGCCACGGCUAACUACGUGCCAGCCGCCGC
rnacentral:rRNA from 1 species